GACGAACGCUGGCGGCGUGCUUAACACAUGCAAGUCGAACGGAAAGGCCCUGCUUUUGUGGGGUGCUCGAGUGGCGAACGGGUGAGUAACACGUGAGUAACCUGCCCUUGACUUUGGGAUAACUUCAGGAAACUGGGGCUAAUACCGGAUAGGAGCUCCUGCUGCAUGGUGGGGGUUGGACAGUUUCGGCGGUUGGGGAUGGACUCGCGGCUUAUCAGCUUGUUGGUGGGGUAGUGGCUUACCAAGGCUUUGACGGGUAGCCGGCCUGAGAGGGUGACCGGCGACAUUGGGACUGAGAUACGGCCCAGACUCCUACGGGAGGCAGCAGUGGGGAAUAUUGCACAAUGGGCGGAAGCCUGAUGCAGCAACGCCGCGUGCGGGAUGACGGCCUUCGGGUUGUAAACCGCUGUCGCCUGUGACGAAGCGUGAGUGACGGUAAUGGGUAAAGAAGCACCGGCUAACUACGUG
rnacentral:rRNA from 1 species